AGCUCUUGUCAGGGGCUCACCCGAGUAAGCACCACGGGGUAGACCAAGGGAAGCUAAACGAACGCACCCAUAAUUUACUCUGUGCAUACCUGUGGAACAAAACAAUAAAUGUUGACUUACUACAAUGGGAAAGGUUAGCUUUAGUAAGCCCAAUUUCUGUCAUGGUGUUUUUUCACUUUUUUCUUUUCCCUUUUCAUAUUAGGAAGGCAAAGUACCCAGCCCACAGCCUCCACCUUUUCAAAAAGGAAGAAGAUUAAAACUAGUUAAGAAGGUUCCUAAGGUAACGCCAUGGUAGAGGGUACAUUGACAGGAAAUGCUACAUUUCCUCGAGGCGGGUUUGCUUCUGAGCCAUCUCCUCUGUAGAGUGACAGCUUUUAAAAUGUCAGACAGCUGAAGAGGGUCUGCAGUUCACCAUGGAGCCUUCAAUUGACUUUAUCUGAACCUUGACAUGCAUGAGAUACUCGACUUGUUCACAUUGAUCAACGUCAUGCAGGAUUCUACUCAGCAAAAUCUGGCAGGUUGUUCUAGCUUUUAUGCACAAAAGAGAGACGCAUUUUGGCAGGUUGAGGAUGUCUAGUCUCCAGAUCACCAAUGAGAGGAGUACUCAUUGCCAGCAGGACCCUUAAGAAUCUGAGAUUGAAGAUGCAGCACCCAUGCUCCAAAAUGGGCCUUCCAUUGAAGUUUCUAGUCACCUUCAGUUCAUCGUAACCUUCAGCCUGAGCAUGGAGACAAACUGAGAAGUCGUCUUUUAGUUGACGUAAGCUCCCUUUAGAUUUCCAAAACAGUUUCCUCGCUUUCCCCAGUUAAAGGCACUGGACAUGUUUGGUAAAUGUGAAUAGACGAGUGUUCUCACUUGGUGUAUCCCAACAUAUGUGUAAAGAUGGUAACAACUUCUUAUAAUAGAGCCUAUAGUCAAGCUUAAUUCAAGACGAUUCGAGAAUAGUGACUUACAUGUGGGCGGCCAUGUUAUAAGUUGGUGCAUGAUGGGAAAUAAACAUUAGACUUGAGUAAAGAAUGGCACACUGCUACAAUGUAUGCAUGAUUUAAAAGUCUAUGAAAAUUUUGACUCAGUUGGUCAUCGAAGUUGCAAGAGAAUAGUGAAAGAAAAAACACCCUUGUAGCACAAAU